rnacentral:rRNA from 1 species
AAUGAACGCUGGCGGCGUGGUUAAGACAUGCAAGUCGAACGGUUUUCAAGUGUAGCAAUACAUUUGAAAAGCAGUGGCGAACGGGUGCGUAACACGUGAACAAUCUACCUUUUAGUGUGGAAUAGCUCGGCGAAAGCCGGAUUAAUACCGCAUGUGGUUGCUGCUCGCAUGAGCAGCAUACUAAAGUCAGGGACCGCAAGGCCUGACGCUAUUAGAGGAGUUCGCGGCCUAUCAGCUAGUUGGCGAGGUAACGGCUCACCAAGGCCUAAGACGGGUAGCUGAUCUGAGAGGAUGAUCAGCCACACUGGAACCGAGACACGGUCCAGACACCUACGGGUGCAGCAGUUUCGAAUCAUUCACAAUGGGCGAAAGCCUGAUGGUGCGACGCCGCGUGAGGGAUGAAGGUCUUCGGAUUGUAAACCUCUGUCA